rnacentral:tRNA from 1 species
AACUAUAUAGUUUAAAAAAAACAUUAAUUUUGUAAAUUAAUAAUAAAAUUUUUUUAUAGUUA